rnacentral:rRNA from 1 species
GACGAACGCUGGCGGCGUGCUUAACACAUGCAAGUCGAACGGAAAGGCCCUGCUUUUGUGGGGUGCUCGAGUGGCGAACGGGUGAGUAACACGUGAGUAACCUGCCCUUGACUUUGGGAUAACUUCAGGAAACUGGGGCUAAUACCGGAUAGGAGCUCCUGCUGCAUGGUGGGGGUUGGAAAGUUUCGGCGGUUGGGGAUGGACUCGCGGCUUAUCAGCUUGUUGGUGGGGUAGUGGCUUACCAAGGCUUUGACGGGUAGCCGGCCUGAGAGGGUGACCGGCCACAUUGGGACUGAGAUACGGCCCAGACUCCUACGGGAGGCAGCGGUGGGGAAUAUUGCACAAGGGGCGGAAGCCUGAUGCAGCAACGCCGCGUGCGGGAUGACGGCCUUCGGGUUGUGAACCGCUGUCGCCUGUGACGAAGCGUGAGUGACGGUAAUGGGUAAAGAAGCACCGGCUAACUACGUG